AGAACGGGUGGUCAUACUGAAUUAGUCAACCUAUUACUGACACGGGACACCAUUGGACACCUUUCCAACAAGUCGACUCUCCACAUUUCCGUCAAGAGCUGCCCCAGUCGGCCGCACGAAAGUUAAUUGUGAAAUGGAAAUAUCUGGGAGCAGAUUCGGCGGCAAAGUUACCCGACCUGAAUGGCAGCAAAUCCCACCAGCAGUGUUCCAGCAUCUAAUGGAAAGCAGGUUAUAUUCUCUGGGAGGGCAAUGGAGUACUUGGAAGAAACUCAGACGAACAUGGGAAAGAUAUGCAGCAUGCAGACGUGGGAUCAGAGACGUGCCCAGUAACAGCCCAGUGCUAAACCAUGAAAGAGAAAUGGACCAUGUCCCAGGCAAACUGGUAUAUAUAACGACUGUUUCCGAGCAACCGCCAUACUUCCUGUCCAACAGCACAAUGGCGGUAAAGUUGGCUCCCUCCCACCCGCAGCCAGCAGCAAUCCAGUUGGGUGGGACUGCCAGGUGAACCGGUUCCCGGGCCGGACUUGCACUGUGACGUCACAUGUCACAUGCUAGGAUGAUGUCCUUCAGCCUACCCGCACUCCCACCUGCUUUGCACACUUCUUCCGUGUGGUUACUGCAGCAUGGCAGUUCAGCCGCAAAUAGCGAAACCACUGUAGUGUAAUAGCCACCUUAACAUGAAUUCUCCAGUAAAUAUAACCUAAUGCAACUUUCUUUGCGUACGUUGACCAUUUAUUUGGAAUGUAACUAAUGUAAUAACUGAAUACACUGCUCAAACAACCUCUCUCUCACACGCUGUAUUUUCUGAUUUCUAAUUACAUGUUCAUAUUUCACAAUUCUAACCCCCGGAUGUCUAAACUACGUUAUUUGGUAAUACUAUAGGUACUGUUGAGGAACUUCCUUGACUCAUAAUUAUUCAAUGAAAUUAAGUUUUUUUUUUUUUUUAAUUUGAUGAAUAAAAUAAAAUUAUAGGCAGGCUGUUUGGGCUGUUGGUGUGACUGAUGAAACAUUUAGGCGUGUCUUUUAUAUUAUCAUUACUAUGCAUGUCUGACCAGGACUACAAUGUCCGCACGUUGGUGCCAGCUCUUCAUUCCUUGUGUUUAUGUGGAGCUCAAGACCAGACGAUCUAUAUGUCAGCCUUCAUACUGUGGGAUCAUAGUGAUGGUUUUUCUUUGUCAUAUCGAAUCAUAAUAUAACCAUUAAGUCCAUUGUUUGUGGGUUCAGAUAUUGAUUUAUGUACUAAAUCUAUGCUAACAUGACAGUUCGAUUCUGUAGGCCAAUAUACAAGAUAUUUGAUACAAUUGGUACUAUUUCAUGAGUAUUAAAUUAGUAUUUCAGAACAGAGAGACGUCUCUGCUCUCAUCACAUGAGAGGAAAAUGAUUUUGAGUUCAGCGAGAGUAGGCUAACGUUGCAGCUACUGAUUGGGGCUGCUUUGUGCUGAAACACAAUGAGGUUUUGGUGGCAGAGGGGGACCUGGGGGUAAAUGGGGGGCAUUUAAAAGGAAGCACUGUUUCUGAGUAACUAAAUCUUCAGCCAGCCAAAUACAGACAUCCAUUGCUCACACACUAUGGUGCUACGUGUUCAUAGGAAGCAGCUAAAGACUGAAAUGGUGGCUUUGUGUGAUUCUUCACCUUUCUAUACAUGUAUCUGGUAUAACAAAUAUUUUAAUUGAGUUCAAUUCCCUAUUUUACCUGUGGAAUUCGUGAUUAUGCAUUUUCCAAAGUAACAGAAAUGACGAACAAGUCCAUUUAAAUAAUUCCAGUCCAAAGCAAUGUUUUACUAGUCUGCAAUGUCAUUUUAUUGAAAACAAUAUCGCAUACAAUUAAAAUCAUGUAUGAUCAUUAAUUUAAUU